CUUGCCAAAACACAAGUACAAGAGGCCCAGCCUGCCCAGUGACACAUGUUCAACGGCCGCGGUAUUCUGACCGUGCAAAGGUAGCGUAAUCACUUGUCUUUUAAAUAAAGACUAGUAUGAAAGGCACCACGAAGGUUCAACUGUCUCCCCCAUCCAGUCAGUGAAACUGAUCUCCCCGUGCAAAAGCAGGGAUAAACACACAAGACGAGAAGACCCUGUGGAGCUUAAGACACCAGGCAACUGCUUUUAAACCACAACCAAAAGGUAAAACCAUUAACCAAGCAAACAUGACCAAAUGUUUUCGGUUGGGGCGACCACGGAGAAUAAAAAAUCCUCCGAGAAGAAGAGGACUACGUCCUAAGUCACGAACAACAACUCCAAACAUCAGAACCUCUGACCACCUUUGACCCAGUCAAACUGAUCAACGAAC
rnacentral:rRNA from 1 species